rnacentral:rRNA from 1 species
UACGUAGGGCGCGAGCGUUGUCCGGAAUUACUGGGCGUAAAGCGUGCGCAGGCGGCUUUGUAAGCCAGGGGUGAAAUCCCCGGGCUCAACCUGGGAAUGGCAUUUGGGACUGCAAGGCUGGAGUGCGGCAGAGGAGACUGGAAUUCCUGGUGUAGCAGUGAAAUGCGUAGAUAUCAGGAGGAACACCGAUGGCGAAGGCAGGUCUCUGGGCUGACACUGACGCUCAUGCACGAAAGCGUGGGGAGCAAACAGG